GGGCUCAUCGUCUAAUGGAUAAGACAUCAACCUUCUAAGUUGUAAAUGUAGGUUCAAUUCCUACUGGGCUCAC
rnacentral:tRNA from 1 species